GAGAAUGGUGACAUUGGAGAAGAGUCCUGCUGGGUACUUGUAAAAGGCUCCUCUGUCUCUGCAAGGCAGCUGAGCUGCUUAGAAGCAGGGCAUGGGCAGCAUGCCUCUUCCGAUGUCGAAAGAAUGAUCCUGGGUAACAAAUGUGAUAUGAAUGACAAAAGACAAGUGUCAAAAGAAAGAGGGGAGAAGCUAGCAAUUGACUAUGGGAUUAAAUUCUUGGAGACAAGUGCAAAAUCCAGUGCAAAUGUAGAAGAGGCAUUUUUUACACUUGCACGAGAUAUAAUGACAAAACUCAACAGAAAAAUGAAUGACAGCAAUUCAGCAGGAGCAGGUGGACCAGUGAAAAUAACAGAAAACCGAUCAAAGAAGACCAGUUUCUUUCGUUGCUCGCUACUUUGAUGAACUCUUUCUGAGAGACUGCAGCACACCUAGAGGGCCCUUUCCUGCUUCUCUGAAAGCACAGGUCACCCAGCCUCAGAAUCACACCUCCCGGCUGCUGCUGAGAGCACCACUGAACUUAGACCUCUCAACACAGAAUGCCAAGUGGAUUCCAGCCUCAUGGCCUAGCAAAAGAACAGGCUCCCUUUUUCAAACAUGGAAGCAAUGAAGUGGAGACACAUGCAGGACCUAACUCGUUUUUUCCUUGUUUUAUUACCUGUUGCAGAAGCUGUUAUCUUUCUUUUUUACUUUGCACAUCAGUGUUAGCCUUUCCCUAUUUCAGCACAAUCUUAGACUCAUAUUUGCACACUUUUGUGUCGUGAAGUUCUAGACAAAUUUGUACAUGUGGCGAUGUUAAAAGAGCAUUUACAGCAGAGGUUAAUACACUAAAAUUAAAGGGUAUUUGGUCUGGUUCAUAUGGUCAAAUAUUACUGCCUUGGUAGCAUUUAUUUAAGGGCUUUUUCUUAAAUAAGAAUCAUUAAAGUCAUUUAAAAAAUUUACUGAAAUGCCCAUCUUGUCAUCAAAGGCCACAAUUUCUUUAUUUCUUCAGAUUAAGAGCUUUGCCUCAUCCCCGACCUGUUUUCCAGAGUCUGGGUAGCUGAAUGAAUCACUUUUUAAAAUGAUUACCUCUGCCUAAUCUAUAGAAACUGCAUUUGGAAAUCACCAUAAUCUCAUUUUUCCCUGGGGUUUGUAUUUGCUAUUCUUUCCCAUGUUUGACUUAAGUGUAAUCACUCUUAAGUAAUAUUUGAACAUUAUUAUCUGUUUCUAUUUGUGAACUUCUUGAGCUGAAAUUUUACGUGGGCUGAGAGAUAUACCAUUUAGGGUUUUAGUGCAGCAUCUAACUGUGAUUCUGUCAAUAAGGAUAUGUAAUAUAUUUUUUCUUAGG
rnacentral:lncRNA from 1 species